rnacentral:rRNA from 1 species
AGAUUGAACGCUGGCGGCGUGCCUAACACAUGCAAGUCGAGCGGUAACAGGUGUAGCAAUACAUGCUGACGAGCGGCGAACGGGUGAGUAAUGCUUUGGAAUCUUCCCAGUAGUGGGGAAUAACCAGUCGAAAGAUUGGCUAAUACCGCAUACGUCUGUAAAGGGAAAGCGGGGGCUCGUAAGACCUCGCGCUAUUGGAUGAGCCAAAGUCGGAUUAGCUAGUUGGUGGGGUAAUGGCCUACCAAGGCGACAAUCCGUAGCUGGUCUGAGAGGACGACCAGCCACACCGGAACUGAGACACGGUCCGGACUCCUACGGGAGGCAGCAGUGGGGAAUAUUGGACAAUGGGGGCAACCCUGAUCCAGCAAUGCCGCGUGAGUGAUGAAGGCCUUAGGGUUGUAAAGCUCUUUCGGCGGGGACGAUGAUGACGGUACCCGCAGAAGAAGCCCCGGCUAACUUCGUGCCAGCAGCCGC